AGUACUUUUGAUUAAACUCAUCCAUUAAUCUUUUUUUUUUGGUUGGGGGUUAUAGUAAUCUGAUAAGCUAUAUAUGGAUGGAAAUAUACUUGACAUAGCUUCAUGAACAAGUAUCCUGACAUUUAAUGGAACGUAAGCAGAAGAAAAUUCUGCGAAAGAGACUGAUGGAAAAGUUCCAUCUGAAAAUUUUGGAAUUCCUGAAACCAACUCCUCUAGAAAAUUUCAAGCAAUCAAGCAAUUGGAGAAUUAUCUUCUAUGAAAAGGCCAUUAAUCCAGGAAAUGAGUUGAAUGACACGCAAGCAUUUGUGACAGUAGCAAAAAAUUCUAAUGGAACAUGGUCCCAUAAAAAGUGAUAUUCAAAACUGGUCUUGGACGCACUAUUUAUUAUGGGUUAACACAGGAUACAAUGCGAUGUGUACUACAAGCAGCACUACAGUUGAAUCAAGCGAUAGAAAACGAGUAGCGGCUGCCCUCAUUUGCCCGAGUUUUAUCCCUUGUUGAACAUCAUUUUUUGGUCGGCGAUCUUCGCAGAGGAGAUUCAUGGCUUCGAUCAAAAUCACCGCAAAUAGGUAAGUACCAAUCGGAAUUCAAUGAAUCUGCUUGAACAGGAACUGUUUGUAGGCUGCCGUAGGUAGUUUGACGAAUAUCUAGCCCGUUUUGCCAUUUUGUUUGUACUCUCAAGAAAGAGGAAAGGGUGGUAUUUCAAAGUCAUAAAGUAAUGGAUGGAUAAAACUACACGGGUAUGUGUCAUUACUGGAUGUCAGAAGAUCCAUUUGACUCGCGAGAAGGUGAUAAAGCAUCAUUCCCAAGACUCACUUGGAUGCCGACCGGACAAUGACACACACGACGUUUUAUUUCAUUACUUGUGACUUAAAAGUAGUCAAGCCACUUUGUAGAUCGUCCCUGCUAGCUCUAGCUAUAAAAGCUAGUGAAAAGCAGCUCAAUGUGACUUGGACUCCUGGAGGUUUUUUAUCCUGCAUCUCAUAGAAUGUUUUUCUUUCACUGAAUCAUUCACAUGUUAUGCUUUUUUACCACCUUCUAAAGGACAUCCAUGAAAAUUGAGCAUUGUGCAAGGACAGGAACGAAAAGUAGCCCUGUUGGAAAAGCUAUUUUUGGACAUUAAAGUUAGGCACUUCAUGAGGUAAUAGUAAUGCAAAACUUGCUUCCCAUCCAUAGGAAAACAUUCAAUACGUUUUUUUAAACAGGUUAUGGUUUUUACGAAGAAAAGAGGCUGCAGAACGCCUCUGACGUAAAUUAUGGCCGUUUUUCCAUCAUUUGCUUCCAGCCGUGACCGGUCAUUUUUCCCGUUUCCUGAACGCGGAUGCAGUUGAGCAUGACGGUAGAAAGUUUACUAUCGCUGCUAGUUAACACUUCGUCAUCAGUCGGUUGCCUGAAACGUUACAUUGUUCCCCAAACAGUGGCUCUCUGGCUCGUUCUGCUGUCACGGUCGCGCUGAAGUAACUACACCAUUUAUACGACUCUCUGGGCCACUCCAACAAAAUGAAACCGUGCCAUUUGUACUUAGAAUCUUCCUACCGUACAACGUAUUGCAAUGUUUGAUGCCGAAUCCGUCGCCGAUGCCCUUCAUAAAGCAACAACUGACUUAGACACUGACGAAGAAGCCUUCACGACCAUUUUUUUGCCAUCGAAAAAAUCGGGAAAUGUAUAAAGCAGUGAUUGGAGUAGGAACUAGCGAAGGGAGAAUGGUUGUCUCGGCAACGGAACUAAUCAGGAGACACUCGAAAUGAGCGCUAUAUACCAACGACUAUACGGUCAUCCCGCGCAAGACGAUAUCAAACGAGAUACUUUUGGAGACUUCGACGCGUUGCUUCUUUCACCUGUUCAGGUUCAAGGAGACGAGACGCAGAUGGCCUGUGUGGCGCAAGCUAAACCGACGCCUGCAUUUGUUUGAAGCCGGAGCGACCAAACUAGAAACUGAUGAAAAAGUUUUCUAUUCCAUUCUAACAAUCCUUGGCUGGGGUCAAUUACGUCAAACUAUUGCCGAAUAUGAGACUAUGCAUGGCCUCUCUUUGGAAAAUGCCGUGACAAGCGAAUCUUCCACCAACGCUCGAUGGGGUAUCUUAGAACUAUCCACCACCUUAUUCGUCUGAUCGUCAGCCGCUGCGAUGUUGAUCUGGGCAACAUUAAAAGAGAGUACGAAAAUAAAUUCGGCACAGAUCUUCAAGCUGAUGUUUCUGUAUUGCUCUUUUCGUAUUGUACUAUGAAAAAUAUUAAAAUAACGCAUGUUUUUAGGAUCAUACGUCUCGUGACUGUAGAAAAGCUCUUGUAACACUUAUUGACUGAGAACUGGAAAAACAUUUGUGCACGGGAAACUGCGCUACUAUAAACUAAACUCAUAUUCAAAAUUAUUUUAUAUUGAAAGGUUACAUAAAAAAGCGAUGUGCUCGAGCUUUAUUUUUUGUCAAA